CGUGAGAUGUUGGGUUAAGUCCCGCAACGAGCGCAACCCUUGCCAUUAGUUGCUACGAAAGGGCACUCUAAUGGGACUGCCGGUGACAAACCGGAGGAAGGUGGGGAUGACGUCAGGUCAUCAUGGCCCUUAUGGGUAGGGCUACACACGUCAUACAAUGGCCGGUACAGAGGGCUGCCAACCGCGAGGGGGAGCAAUCCCAGAAAACCGGUCGUAGUCCGGAUCGUAGUCUGCAACUCGACUGCG
rnacentral:rRNA from 1 species